rnacentral:rRNA from 1 species
GAUGAACGCUGGCGGCGUGCCUAAUACAUGCAAGUCGAGCGAACAGACGAGGAGCUUGCUCCUCUGACGUUAGCGGCGGACGGGUGAGUAACACGUGGAUAACCUACCUAUAAGACUGGGAUAACUUCGGGAAACCGGAGCUAAUACCGGAUAAUAUAUUGAACCGCAUGGUUCAAUAGUGAAAGACGGUUUUGCUGUCACUUAUAGAUGGAUCCGCGCCGCAUUAGCUAGUUGGUAAGGUAACGGCUUACCAAGGCAACGAUGCGUAGCCGACCUGAGAGGGUGAGCGGCCACACUGGAGCUGAGACACGGUCCAGACUCCUACGGGAGGCAGCAGUAGGGAAUCUUCCGCAAUGGGCGAAAGCCUGACGGAGCAACGCCGCGUGAGUGAUGAAGGUCUUCGGAUCGUAAAACUCUGUUAUUAGGGAAGAACAAAUGUGUAAGUAACUAUGCACGUCUUGACGGUACCUAAUCAGAAAGCCACGGCUAACUACGUG